rnacentral:tRNA from 6 species
AUAGCUCAGUCGGUAGAGCGACGGACUGUUAAUCCGCAGGUCCCUGGUUCGAGCC